rnacentral:rRNA from 1 species
CGGGUGAGUAACGCGUGGAUAACCUGCCUCACACUGGGGGAUAACAGUUAGAAAUGACUGCUAAUACCGCAUGAGCGCACAGUACCGCAUGGUACGGUGUGAAAAACUCCGGUGGUGUGAGAUGGAUCCGCGUCUGAUUAGCCAGUUGGCGGGGUAACGGCCCACCAAGGCGACGAUCAGUAGCCGACCUGAGAGGGUGACCGGCCACAUUGGGACUGAGACACGGCCCAA